UGAACGCUGGCGGCGUGCCUAAUACAUGCACGUCGCGCGAACAGACGUGGAGCUUGCUCCUCUGACGUUAGCGGCGGACGGGUGAGUAACACGUGGAUAACCUACCUAUAAGACUGGGAUAACUUCGGGAAACCGGAGCUAAUACCGGAUAAUAUAUUGAACCGCAUGGUUCAAUAGUGAAAGACGGUUUUGCUGUCACUUAUAGAUGGAUCCGCGCCGCAUUAGCUAGUUGGUAAGGUAACGGCUUACCAAGGCAACGAUGCGUAGCCGACCUGAGAGGGUGAUCGGCCACACUGGAACUGAGACACGGUCCAGACUCCUACGGGAGGCAGCAGUAGGGAAUCUUCCGCAAUGGGCGAAAGCCUGACGGAGCAACGCCGCGUGAGUGAUGAAGGUCUUCGGAUCGUAAAACUCUGUUAUUAGGGAAGAACAAAUGUGUAUGUAACUAUGCACGUCUUGACGGUACCUAAUCAGAAAGCCACGGCUAACUACGUG
rnacentral:rRNA from 1 species